rnacentral:lncRNA from 1 species
ACCCAUCUAUCUCCUGCUUCAGAGAUAAGUCUUAUUUCUUUCUCAUUUUAUACCCAGAGACAAUUUGAGACUCCUAACUUCCAACUGCUCUAUCAUCUCCAUUACUCAGCUGUCUGCAAACUGGAUAAUCAUACUUUCCAAUUUUCUUAGCCGCUAGUAAUUCAGCAUUACACUAAUUCAGACCAGUUUGAUUUUGCCAACAGAAUUCAUCAAGACAAUGUGCUGUGCCUUCAUGAGUACUUCCUCGCUUUAGAAAGAAAAAAAAAAAAGUAAUUACUGCUUUAAAAAAUAUGCCUGGAGAGAGUAUCACAAUAAUUGCUAAAAUCAAGAGAUUAAAAAUUAAAAAUUCCUUUGUUUUAAUUGCUUGCAAUGGCAUACACACAAAAACACAUAUCCAUUAUUAUCAACACAAAUACAUUAAAAGUACUUUUUUCAAGAAGAAAACAUUUUCAUUACAGUGUAUAUGGUAACAUUUUGUUUCACCUAGUGAGCAUAGAUAAACAACAGAAUUCUGUGGGAGAUCUCAUUCUAAAGAAAAUGCAAGGUCAAAUCCUAAAUUUCUGUACUUGAAAGUCAUUCAAUUUAUAUCUUUUCAAUCCUCAUACCCCCAUGGCAUUUUUGCCACAGAAAUACCUAGGUUGCCAUUAAUGUUUUGUUAAAAGCUAAUGCAUUUGCUCCCCCAAUAUCCACUACUUGUCAGGCUUUCUCUGUAUUUUAUAUCUUUGCUUCUUUGAUUGACUUUUUGUUCUCUGGUUACUUUUAUGAAGUGUUGUACUAUGUCUUCAGAAUUCAAUUCUUAAUACAUGAUAUGCUUUUAUUCUCCAAUAACAAUUUAUUUAUUUCAGAAUAUUUUAGAUUGUUGUCUAGAAGUAUGUAUCCCCCCUAAAGUUAUGCUUUUACUUUGUAUUUGAUAAAAAUAAAAAAGAUUUCAUUCUGGAAAUAGUGUGGCAGUGUUUGCAGUAUUUCUCAUCUAGAAGUAACUUCUUUUUCAUGUAGUGGUCUCUAUGAAGUGACGUGAAGUGAAGUCGUUCAGUCGUGUCCGUCUCUUUGCGACCCCAUGGACUCUAGCCUACCAGGCUCCUCUGUCCAUGGG